UUGCAGUGAUGAUUAUAGAUGUGACUGAACUGGCAUUGCUAGCCUCUGGGUUAGUUCUGGCCAGGAAAUGACCUCAGUUAAUCUUCUCUCUGAGCAG